CGCGGCUGCGCGGAGCCCAGGGGUCGGAAGCUCAGUGUACCUGUCCCCACCAAUCCCCUCUUGCAGGAGAGCAAUGCCCCGAAGGUCACAAAGUCGGUAAGCUGUAGCAGAGCUGAGCUCGGUUCGUCUAACCCUAUUCAAAGAUAUAGACACAGGGGUUGCUAACAGUGAUUCCAUGCACAUUUCCAGACUCCACAGUCCCGAGAGGCCCUUGCGUUGACGCUCUUCCCUGCACCGGCAGAGACCUCCAAAGCAAUGCCGGAGAAGUGUCCUCGCGGCGUCCUUGCCUUGCCCCCAGUCCGCCAGAGACAGCUUGCCACGCUUCGCCUGUAGUUCCAGUGUUUGCUGGUGGUGUUUCCGCAGAUGUGCUUUAUUAAGCAAGGGAACCCUCGCCCAUAGCAGGUGUACCGAGACUCUUCCAUCCUGAAUGGUAAUUGAGUCUCAUCAAACAUGUUCACUGUGAGUCCCUGUUAAUGUGAUAAAACCCAUGGACUUUACGAUGUUAUCCAAGCCUGUCUUCCCACAAUAAACCCAGUUUGCUUGUGACGCGUUGUCUUCCGUCCUCCUGCUGGCUUCAUGGCUGUUGAGCUUUCUCCUUCCUCUGUUUGAGCAAGAGAGAGACCGGCCGCACUCCCCUCUCCCCGCAGCGCUCUCCCUAACAUUAUGAUUGUCUCCUAGAACAAGGUGGGGAAUGGGCCCUUUUCUCUUUUCGGGGAGAGUCUGUGCAAGAUGAAGGUUGCUUGUCCACAAACAUUUGGUAAAAGUUGACUCAUAAAACAAUCUGAGCCUACAAGUUGAUUCUGUUAAAAGCUUUUUAAUUACAGAUUCUAUCCGAUUCCUUUACGACUCUUCAGAUCUUCCCUUUCCUCCCUCAUCACUGUCAGGAGUUGUGUUUUUUGGAAACAGGAAAGUGCUCGUUUCGUCUCAUUUUCCAGAUGCGUCGCCGUAACAUUGUCCCCAAUAUUCAGGUCCUGUUUCCCGUGUCUGUAGCAUCUGGAGUGAUGUUCCCCUUGUUUCUCUUCCUAUGUCCUUGUUUUUUCCUUUCAUCUUUGUUGUUUCCUUCCUCUUCCUUUCCUUGGGUUCAUUUGAUGCUCUUUCCCUGAGUUCUUGAAGUUUGAAGGCUCGUUUCAUUGAUUCUCAGCCGUUCUUCGUCUCUGAUACUUGAGUGAAGGCGGCGCGUUAAGUGUGGUUUUAGUAUAGCCCACAGGUUAUGAUACAUCGUGGGGUAUUUUUUUUUCAUCUU